rnacentral:sRNA from 1 species
UACUCUGUGUGGUGGGUUUAUUUGCU